AGAGCGAACGCUGGCGGCAGGCCUAACACAUGCAAGUCGAGCGCCCGUAGCAAUACGGGAGCGGCAGACGGGAUAGUAACACGUGGGAACGCGCCCUUCGGUUCGGAAUAACUCAGGGAAACUUGAGCUAAUACCGAAUACGCCCUUACGGGGAAAGAUUUAUUGCCGAAGGAACGGCCCGCGUCCGAUUAGCUAGUUGGUGAGGUAAUGGCUCACCAAGGCUACGAUCGGUAGCUGGUCUGAGAGGAUGACCAGCAUCACUGGGACUGAGACACGGCCCAGACUCCUACGGGAGGCAGCAGUGGGGAAUAUUGGACAAUGGGCGCAAGCCUGAUCCAGCCAUGCCGCGUAGAUGAUGAAGGCCUUAGGGUUGUAAAGUCCUUUUAACGGGGAAGAUAAUGACGGUACCCGUAGAAUAAGCCCGGCUAACUUCGCGCCAGCAGCCGC
rnacentral:rRNA from 1 species